rnacentral:rRNA from 1 species
GAUGAACGCUGGCGGCGUGCCUAAUACAUGCAAGUAGAACGCUGAAGGAGGAGCUUGCUCUUCUGGAUGAGUCGCGAACGGGUGAGUAACGCGUAGGUAACCUGCCUGGUAGCGGGGGACAACUAUUGGAAACGAUAGCUAAUACCGCAUGACAACAGUUAUUGCAUGAUAACUGUCUAAAAGGGGCAACUGCUCCACUACCAGAUGGACCUGCCUUGUAUUAGCUAGUGGGGGAGGUAACGGCUCACCAAGGCGACGAUACAUAGCCGACCUGGGAGAGGGAGCGGCGUCACAGGGGAAGUGAGACGGCGCACAGUCCUACGGGGGGCGGCGGUGGGGAAACUUCGGGAAUGGGCGGGAGUCUGAGCGAGAGACGCGGCGUGAGUGAGGAAGGGGUUCGGGUAGUGAAGCGCGGUUGUAGGAGAAGGACGGGUGUGAGAGUGGAAAGUUCACUCUGUGACGGUAUCUUACCAGAAAGGGACGGCUAACUACGUG